GACGAACGCUGGCGGCGUGCUUAACACAUGCAAGUCGAACGGAAAGGCCCUGCUUGCAGGGUACUCGAGUGGCGAACGGGUGAGUAACACGUGGGUGAUCUGCCCUGCACUUCGGGAUAAGCCUGGGAAACUGGGUCUAAUACCGGAUAGGAGCCAUUUUUAGUGUGAUGGUUGGAAAGUUUUUUCGGUGUAGGGUGAGCUCGCGGCCUAUCAGCUUGUUGGUGGGGUAAUGGCCUACCAAGGCGGCGACGGGUAGCCGGCCUGAGAGGGUGGACGGCCACAUUGGGACUGGGAUACGGCCCAGACUCCUACGGGGGGCAGCAGUGGGGAAUAUUGCACAAUGGGCGCAAGCCUGAUGCAGCGACGCCGCGUGGGGGAUGACGGCCUUCGGGUUGUAAACUCCUUUCGCUAGGGACGAAGCUUUUUGUGACGGUACCUAGAUAAGAAGCACCGGCUAACUACGUG
rnacentral:rRNA from 1 species